CACAGGUGCAGUAGGGACUAAUCGUAAAUGUAGGGUGGGUUUUUCCAAAACUGGGAAGGCUUAACCCAUUUUGAGUAAUACGAAGUCAGAGAUAAGAUGGAUUACCAGGUAGGUCUACACCACCGAUCACAACAUUCAUAGAAGUGCUGGCACUCUGUACCAGUCAGAACCCUUCAAACACCUUCUGAAUAUAUGCAUUAAAU